rnacentral:rRNA from 1 species
UGCCUCAGUAACGGCGAGUGAAGCGGCAAGAGCUCAAAUUUGAAAUCUGGCCCCUUCGGGGUCCGAGUUGUAAUUUGCAGAGGAUGCUUCGGGUGCGGUCCCCGUCUAAGUGCCCUGGAACGGGCCGUCAUAGAGGGUGAGAAUCCCGUCUGGGAUGGGCGGCCGCGCCCGUGUGAAGCUCCUUCGACGAGUCGAGUUGUUUGGGAAUGCAGCUCUAAGCGGGUGGUAAAUUUCAUCUAAAGCUAAAUACUGGCCGGAGACCGAUAGCGCACAAGUAGAGUGAUCGAAAGAUGAAAAGCACUUUGAAAAGAGAGUUAAACAGCACGUGAAAUUGUUGAAAGGGAAGCGUUGUCCACCAGACUCGCCCGGGGGGGUUCAGCCGGCACGUGUGCCGGUGUACUCCUCUCCGGGCGGGCCAGCAUCGGUUUGGGCGGCUGGUGAAAGGCCCCGGGAAUGUACCACCCUCCGGGGUGCCUUAUAGCCCGGGGUGCCAUACAGCCAGCCUGGACCGAGGCCCGCGCUUCGGCGAGGAUGCUGGCGUAAUGGUGGUCAACGGCCCGUCUUGAAACACGGACCAAGGAGUCUAACAUCUAUGCGAGUGUUCGGGUGUCAAACCCGUCCGCGCAGUGAAAGCGAACGGAGGUGGGAGCCCCCCGGGGCGCACCAUCGACCGAUCCUGAUGUCUUCGGAUGGAUUUGAGUAAGAGCAUAGCUGUUGGGACCCGAAAGAUGGUGAACUAUGCCUGAAUAGGGCGAAGCCAGAGGAAACUCUGGUGGAGGCUCGCAGCGGUUCUGACGUGCAAAUCGAUCGUCAAAUUUGGGUAUAGGGGCGAAAGA